UACCCUGGAGUACCCUCAGAAGAGUCACUUGAGGGGACAAUACUAUCCAGUGUCACUUUGUGUCGUAAUUUGGACCCAAUUUGUGUUUGUAAGCCAAAGUGUUUCAGCCAGCAUCUUAGAUUACCACACACAGAGCCUAUUUAUAGAUGCCAGUGCCAUGGGUUGGGUCUGUCCCAACAGCUCUGGAGAGGGAACAAGGAAAGUACACGUGAAGGUCAGCCUGGGUGGGCACUUAGUGCCUGUGCUCCUGAUUUUGAUACCUGUCCAUCCUGUGGCACAUCUUCCUUCUGUGUGUCUUUGCUGGGCUCAGAGUCACUGGCAGGAGUUACCUGGACGCUGCUUGGUGCUUUCUUUCCCUCUUCUGCAAAAGCAAUAAGAAGAGUGCUGGUUUCAGUCAUCCUGGAUGUGUGGCCACCAUACCAGGGCACCACCUUCCCUGUGAGCUCCCUGCCACAGUGGUGGCAUUUCAGAUUCUGAAGAUUGUAUUAAAACCAUCCUUAAACCCCAGAAAGGAUGUAAAGCUUUGCUUCUCAGGUUUCUCCCCCAGCUCCCCCUCCCUCCAUAGAGCACAGCAUUCUCCAGGGACCUGAUACUCUUCAAGGCUUCUGAGAAAUGACCAGGAUGUGCUGCCAGACUUUAAUCCCUGAUCGUUUGGAAGUGGGGAAAAGGACAAAAGAACAAACUUGCUAGAAAUUGCUAAUUUAAAAAAGGCACAUUGAAGGGCUGGGAUGAGGUCUGAGCUAAGAAGAAGAAGACGUGAUGUGCUAUGGGAAAGAGGAAGUCUGUAACUCACAUUAACUGCCACAGCAGUCAGAGAAACAGCAGAGAUGGGGAAUGUCACCACUUCCAGUAACCAGUUUGGCACAGAAAAAGUAGAUAUGGCAGGACCAAAACAUGAGGUGUUUGUCCUUGCCAACCACGCCAUCAGAAGGGACACAUCCCACUGUCACAGAGCUCCCCACACCUGACACCAUCUGUGAUGCACCCCAAGGGUUAUUCUCAGUGUGAGGACAGUGAUUAUCCCCUUCACAAACUCCUGCACUGAAGCACCAGCCAUGGACAUGG